CAGUCGCCGCGGGAAUAUGUAGGUGGCAAGCGUUGCCCGGAAUUAUUGGGCGUAAAGGGCUCGCAGGCGGUUUCUUAAGUCUGAUGUGAAAGCCCCCGGCUCAACCGGGGAGGGUCAUUGGAAACUGGGAAACUUGAGUGCAGAAGAGGAGAGUGGAAUUCCACGUGUAGCGGUGAAAUGCGUAGAGAUGUGGAGGAACACCAGUGGCGAAGGCGACUCUCUGGUCUGUAACUGACGCUGAGGAGCGAAAGCGUGGGGAGCGAACAGGAUUAGAUACCCCUGUAGUCCCUGUCUCUUAUAC
rnacentral:rRNA from 1 species